rnacentral:rRNA from 1 species
CCUACGGGUGGCAGCAGUGAGGAAUAUUGCACAAUGGACGAAACUCUGAACCAGCCACGCCGCGUGCGUGAAGAAGUAUUUCGGUAUGUAAAGCUCCAUCAGCAGGGAAGAAAAUGCAGGUACCUGAUUAAGAAGCACCGGAUAACUAAGUGCCAGAACCGGUGGGAAUACGGAGGCAGCAAGGGUUAUCCGGAUUUACUGGGCUUAAAGGGAGCGUAGUGGGCAGUACAAGUUAGGAGUGAAAUGCCGGGGCUUAACCCCGGAACUGCUUUUGAAACUGUGCAGCUAGAGUGCAGGAGAGGUAAGUGGAAUGCCUGGUGUAGCGGUGAAAUGCGUAGAUAUCAGGCAGAACACCGGUUGCGAAGGCAGCUUACUGGACUGUAACUGACGUUGAGGCACGAAAGCGUGGGGAGCAAACAGGAUUAGAUACCCCAGUAGUC